rnacentral:rRNA from 1 species
AGUGAACGCUGGCGGUAGGCCUAACACAUGCAAGUCGAACGGCAGCACAGGAGAGCUUGCUCUCUGGGUGGCGAGUGGCGGACGGGUGAGGAAUACAUCGGAAUCUACUCUGUCGUGGGGGAUAACGUAGGGAAACUUACGCUAAUACCGCAUACGACCUACGGGUGAAAGCAGGGGACCUUCGGGCCUCGCGCGAUUGAAUGAGCCGAAGUCGGAUGAGCUAGUUGGCGGGGUAAAGGCCCACCAAGGCGACGAUCCGUAGCUGGUCUGAGAGGAUGAUCAGCCACACUGGAACUGAGACACGGUCCAGACUCCUACGGGAGGCAGCAGUGGGGAAUAUUGGACAAUGGGCGCAAGCCUGAUCCAGCCAUACCGCGUGGGUGAAGAAGGCCUUCGGGUUGUAAAGCCCUUUUGUUGGGAAGGAAAUCCAGCUGGCUAAUACCCGGUUGGGAUGACGGUACCCAAAGAAUAAGCACCGGCUAACUUCGUGCCAGCCGCCGCAGUAA